rnacentral:rRNA from 1 species
UACGUAGGGGGCGAGCGUUGUCCGGAUUCAUUGGGCGUAAAGCGCUUUAAGGCGGUUCGCUAAGUCGCGUGUGAAAACUCCAGGCUCAACCUGGAGACGCCACGUGAUACUGGCGUGACUAGAGUUCGGUAGGGGAUCACGGAAUUCCUGGUGUAGCUGUGAAAUGCGCAGAUAUCAGGAGGAACACCGGUGGCGAAGGCGGCUUCCUGGACACUAACUGACGCUGAGACGCGAAAGCGUGGGGAGCAAACAGG